AUACAUUUCCCUUUGGAAGCAGCAAUACAUCCGUAACAUGCUACAUUAAAAAAGGAAUUCUCAGGGCUGCCAACUUUACGGUAGAGACUGAGUAGCAGUAUAUUUCUCCUACAUUA
ensembl:snoRNA